rnacentral:rRNA from 1 species
UACGGAGGGUGCAAGCGUUAUCCGGAUUUACUGGGUUUAAAGGGUGUGUAGGCGGGUCUUUAAGUCAGUGGUGAAAUCUCCGGGCUCAACCUGGAAACUGCCAUUGAUACUAUUGAUCUUGAAUUUUGUUGAGGUAGGCGGAAUAAGUCAUGUAGCGGUGAAAUGCAUAGAUAUGACUUAGAACACCAAUUGCGAAGGCAGCUUGCUAAACAAAUAUUGACGCUGAGGCACGAAAGCGUGGGGAUCAAACAGGA